rnacentral:tRNA from 1 species
GCAUUAGUAGCUCAGAGUAAAGAGCACCGGUCUGUAAACCG